AUUGAACGCUGGCGGCAUGCCUUACACAUGCAAGUCGAACGGCAGCACGGGAGCAAUCCUGGUGGCGAGUGGCGAACGGGUGAGUAAAGUAUCGGAACGUGCCCAGUCGUGGGGGAUAACGUAGCGAAAGUUACGCUAAUACCGCAUACGAUCUAUGGAUGAAAGCGGGGGAUCGCAAGACCACGCGCGACUGGAGCGGCCGAUAUCAGAUUAGGUAGUUGGUGGGGUAAAGGCUCACCAAGCCGACGAUCUGUAGCUGGUCUGAGAGGACGACCAGCCACACUGGGACUGAGACACGGCCCAGACUCCUACGGGAGGCAGCAGUGGGGAAUUUUGGACAAUGGGCGCAAGCCUGAUCCAGCCAUGCCGCGUGCAGGAUGAAGGCCUUCGGGUUGUAAACUGCAUUUGUACGGAACGAAAAGGUUUGACUUAAUACGUUGGACUCAUGACGGUACCGUAAGAAUAAGCACCGGCUAACUACGUGCCAGCAGCCGCCGUAA
rnacentral:rRNA from 1 species